AAAAAAAAAAAAAAAAAAAUGUCUCUGACCUAAAUUUUUGCUUUUUCCAAGGACAAUGCAGGCUCUAGCAUUGCUGCCAACGUAGUGGAAACAUGAAUAUUCUAACUCAAAUCACCAUUUCUCCUGUGUCACCUGCAUCAAAACCUUUGAGAGCUCUCCCAUAUUUUACCCAAAGCCUUCAAAAUGUUUUAAUUUACAAGACCCUAAUAUCCCAAUACCAAUUUGUUGUUUUCCGAGAGCUCCAAGGAUCAUUUCACCCCUCACUAAUCAGAAAAGUAAAAUAGCUUUAUCUUUGGAUUAUUGCAUGGGACCUCAACACGCAAUAAAGCACACAGAUACUAUUUAGGAACACAAGGAAUAAACAGCAAAUGCAGAGGAUCAAAUAAUGGGAGUUGUUGUUUCUGGUCAUAUACCUUAGGAAAAGAUAUCUGAUUCUUCAAAGCUUCAUUCUGCAUGGGAAAAGGUUGUCUGGGGUAUGUUGUCAACUACAGAUAAAGCAUGAUCUGAUAUACAUUGGUUGUUUGGCAAAGAUCACUUCCAGUUCAAAUACCAACAAAUUAGGCAAAUAUUGAGCUCAACCUCAGGGUUAUACUUAUAACAUGUGCUUUGAACACCUGAAACAGCAACUGUCACCUAGUACAAGUCCCAGGCCAUACUCAUUGACACAACCUAUAGGACUUUAUAGAUGCUAUUUGCAAUGAUUGAGUGGGCAUUUGACAAAAAUUGAGGCUGUUAUAGACAUGGGACAUGGCCCUGUCAUUCUAGGUAAUAAACUAUAAUUAAUGUAUCACCACAAGCGAUUUCUGUUGAACAAAACAACUAAAUUUAGAGUGAAAACUUACAAAAAGAUUUUUGUGCAUUUCAGUUUUACAAAUUUUCAAUUAAGAAAUUAAGUUUAAAAGAACCAAAAAGAAAAGAAAAGGCAACGAGUUGAAUUUUGUUUUUUCCAACAAGGAAAUGGUUGUUAUGUGUGUGUAGCACCCAGUUUCAUACAUGUGCUUGUCUUUUCAUUUCUUCCUGAACAUUGUACCCUGUAUCCUUCUUUCUAUUGGUUUUCUGUUUCACAGCAGUUUCUUGAAAUUACAUGGGAUAGAGUAUGUAGCUUUGUAUUUACAGGAUUCUGC
rnacentral:misc_RNA from 1 species